CAGCAAGAGGGUCCAUUUUGUCAGAAACUUAAUCAGGGAAGUUGCUGGGUUUGCUCCUUAUGAGAAAAGAAUUACGGAGCUUCUCGAAGUCGGAAAGGACAAGCGUGCUCUGAAAGUGGCAAAGCGAAAGUUAGGGACACACAAGAGGGCCAAGAAGAAGCGUGAGGAGAUGGCUAAUGUUCUGAGGAAGAUGAGGUCUGCUGGAGUGAGUGAGAAGAAAAAGUAGUGUGGAUUUGCAGCUAGACAGUUUCGGAAAUAGACGAGGCACUAGGUUCCAAUUCUGUAGGAAACGGUGACAUGAUUUUUGUGUGUUCUGUUCUGUGAGCUUCUACUUAAUCAGACGAUUACUGCUGAAGUAGUUUCUUCGGCCACCAUAAAUUUUGACAUGACAUGAUUUAAUUGCAUCCGAGUUCGUUUAUCUCUGUCAGCAUAUUGUGUGGAUCACCUUAAGUGUGGAGCAGCCAGAUUCGCAAAGACAGCGAAUGCCAUAAUUCAGUAUUUGUGUUUGACUUCUUGAUUAUUUCAUGAGUUCUUUUCCUUAAUUCUCAUAGCAACUUCAUGUAGGGCUGCCCAGGUAAUUCAUCAUAUGCAAUUCUUGAUGCUGGACCUAUGUACACAUUUAUGGAUGUGUUUUUUUUAAGCAACAUUUUUUGGAUGCAUUACCAUAUGACUCUAUAAUGUUCUUUGUCCGAAAAUUAGGUACCUUUUUUGAAGCUAGGGGGAAGCUAAAACCUUCUGUUAUGUAUUUCCAGCGAUAGCUUGAUUGACACGCAAAUGGAAUGAUCUGUUGAGUAGAACAUGGGAAGAGGAUGGUCACCAACCUACUGCAACUUUAAUCCAAAGGAUGCUGCUGUCAUGCACUUUUGACCCCAC